GCGGUACUUCUGACCGUGCAAAGGUAGCAUAAUCAUUUGCCUUAUAAUUGAAGGCUAGUAUGAAUGGUUUGACAAGAAUAUAGCUGUCUCUUUAUGAUUUAAUAGAAUUUUAUUUUUAGGUGAAGAAGCCUAAAUUUAAUUAAAAGACAAGAAGACCCUAUCGAGCUUGAAAAAACUUAAUGGAAUUAAAGUUAAUUGCACUAAAAAUCUAUCUAUUAAAUAUUUUAGUUGGGGCGACCGAGGAACAUAAAAAGCUUCCUUUAAAAAGAAACUAUUCUCACUUGAAUUGAUCCAAAACAUUUUGAUUAAAGAAAUUAGUUACCGUAGGGAUAACAGCAUUAUCUUUUUUAAGAGCUCAUAUCGAAAAAAAGGUUUGUGACCUCGAUGUUGGACCAGAAUAUCCUAAAGGUGCAGCA
rnacentral:rRNA from 1 species